rnacentral:rRNA from 1 species
GGGGGGAAAACCCUGAUGCAGCCAUGCCGCGUGUGUGAAGAAGGCCUUUCGGGUUGUAAAGCACUUUCAGUAGGGAGGAAGGUAGUGUAGUUAACACCUGCAUUAUUUGACGUUACCUACAGAAGAAGCACCGGCUAACUCCGUGCCAGCAGCCGCGGUAAUACGGAGGGUGCGAGCGUUAAUCGGAAUUACUGGGCGUAAAGCGCAUGCAGGCGGCCUGUUAAGUCAGAUGUGAAAGCCCGGGGCUUAACCUCGGAAUUGCAUUUGAAACUGGCAGGCUAGAGUCUUGUAGAGGGGGGUAGGAAUUUCAGGUGUAGCGGUGAAAUGCGUAGAGAUCUGAAGGAAUACCAGUGGCGAAGGCGGCCCCCUCGGACAAAGACUGACGCUCAGAUGCGAAAGCGUGGGGAGCAAACAGGAUUAGAUACCCUGGUAG